rnacentral:rRNA from 1 species
CAUGCAAGUCGAGGGGCAGCAUCAUCAAAGCUUGCUUUGAUGGAUGGCGACCGGCGCACGGGUGAGUAACACGUAUCCAACCUGCCGACAACACUGGGAUAGCCUUUCGAAAGAAAGAUUAAUACCGGAUGGCAUAAUUAUUCCGCAUGGGAUAAUUAUUAAAGAAUUUCGGUUGUCGAUGGGGAUGCGUUCCAUUAGGCAGUUGGCGGGGUAACGGCCCACCAAACCUACGAUGGAUAGGGGUUCUGAGAGGAAGGUCCCCCACAUUGGAACUGAGACACGGUCCAAACUCCUACGGGAGGCGGCAGUGAGGAAUAUUGGUCAAUGGACGAGAGUCUGAACCAGCCAAGUAGCGUGAAGGAUGACUGCCCUAUGGGUUGUAAACUUCUUUUAUACGGGAAUAAAGUGAGCCACGUGUGGCUUUUUGUAUGUACCGUAUGAAUAAGGAUCGGCUAACUCCGUGCCAGCAGCCGCGGUAAUACGGAGGAUCCGAGCGUUAUCCGGAUUUAUUGGGUUUAAAGGGAGCGUAGGCGGGUUGUUAAGUCAGUUGUGAAAGUUUGCGGCUCAACCGUAAAAUUGCAGUUGAUACUGGCGACCUUGAGUGCAACAGAGGUAGGCGGAAUUCGUGGUGUAGCGGUGAAAUGCUUAGAUAUCACGAAGAACUCCGAUUGCGAAGGCAGCUUACUGGAUUGUAACUGACGCUGAUGCUCGAAAGUGUGGGUAUCAAACAGGAUUAGAUACCCUGGUAGUCCACACAGUAAACGAUGAAUACUCGCUGUUG